rnacentral:tRNA from 1 species
AAUAGAGUGCCUGAAUUAAAGGAGUACUCUGAUGGAGUAAAAUAUACAGCUUAAAUUGUCUCUAUUA